GCCUGGCUGGCUCAGUAGGUAGAGCAUGUGAUUCUCGAUCUCAGGGAUGUGAGUUCGAGCCCCACAUUGGGCA
rfam:Ailuropoda melanoleuca scaffold1771_19, whole genome shotgun sequence.